CACGUAGGGGGCAAGCGUUGUCCGGAUUUAUUGGGCGUAAAGAGCUCGUAGGCGGUUCGGUCAGUCAGGUGUGAAACCUCCAGGCUCAACCUGGAGACGCCACCUGAUACUGCUGUGACUCGAGUCCGGUAGGGGAGCGUGGAAUUCCUGGUGUAGCGGUGAAAUGCGCAGAUAUCAGGAGGAACACCAGCGGCGAAGGCGGCGCUCUGGGCCGGAACUGACGCUGAGGAGCGAAAGCGUGGGGAGCGAACAGG
rnacentral:rRNA from 1 species